rnacentral:misc_RNA from 1 species
GUGAUUAAAUCGAGCGUGUCUUCAUUGACCGCUCACCCUUCUCACCAUCCACAUACACCUGUGCGCUGUUUAGCCUGAGCCGGUUUUCCGGUCCAGGUUAUCAUUUCAUACAAACUCUAGUCUUAUGAAUGUAAACGUUUUAAAUAACAUAAUA